CAGUAUUGAACCUGUCACUAUGCAAGGAACGUUGUAUAUGAAAAAUGCCCAAAAGAAAUUAAGGCUUCCUUGGAGGGAUAGACCCACCUUCCUCAGUGUUCCUGCUUCUAAGAUGCCUGAGUGGUGACCCAGAGGAUUCAUCAGCUUGGUGGUUUUGUGACUAAGGCAGCCCAUGAUGAGCACAACCCCAUGUGGACUUCUCGCGGGGCAUCCCAACAAAAAAUGUUUUGUAUUAUACAACAAUAUCAAAUAAAAAUAUCAGUUUAAAG
rnacentral:lncRNA from 1 species